AUUGAACGCUGGCGGCAGGCCUAACACAUGCAAGUCGAACGGUAACAGGAAGAAACUUGCUUCUUUGCUGUCGAGUGGCGGACGGGUGAGUAAUGUCUGGGAAACUGCCUGAUGAAGGGGGAUAACUACUGGAAACGGUAGCUAAUACCGCAUAACGUCGCAAGACCAAAGAGGGGGACCGUCGGGCCUCUUGCCAUCGGAUGGGCCCAGAUGGGAUUAGCUUGUUGGUGGGGUAACGGCUCACCAAGGCGACGAUCCUUAGCUGGUCUGAGAGGAUGACUCGACAGACUGGAAGUGAGACACGGUCGCGACUCCUACGGGAGGCCGCAGUGGGGAAUAUUGCACGAUGGGCGAAAGCCUGAUGCAGCCAUGCCGCGUGUAUGAAGAAGGACUUCGGGUUGUAAAGUACUUUCAGCGGGGAGGAAGGGAGUAAAGUUAAUACCUUUGCUCAUUGACGUUACCCGCAGAAGAAGCCCCGGCUAACUUCGUG
rnacentral:rRNA from 1 species